rnacentral:piRNA from 1 species
CAUCCUGGUCCCAUUAAAUCCUCUUAAU